AUCAAAAUAAAAACAUAUAUAAUUAUAUUAGUAUUGGAGGAAAAAUCUGAAAAUGCAUUGUUAUGAUGAUUAUUAAAUGUUUUAUUAUUUUAUUAUUUUAGCUUCAAACAGACUAUGAAACACUGUCAUUAUUCAUGCUGAAAUAAAUUGAAAAUAAAUGUAUCUCAAGAAUAACAAGUUUUUUAUAGCAUAGUGCACAGAUACAAAUUAGAUAGACACAGUUAAUAGAAAACUCAAUCAAAACUGCUUGUUUAAGUUGAAGCCUGUUUCUGUUGUGUCGUUUGUUUUCUCUUAUAUUUGAGUGGGAAUUCACAUUACUAUAAGACGUGUCACGG
rnacentral:lncRNA from 1 species